UGAGGAAGAUAAUGACGGUACUCAACAAGGAAGUGACGGCUAACUACGUGCCAGCAGCCGCGGUAAAACGUAGGUCACAAGCGUUGUCCGGAAUUACUGGGUGUAAAGGGAGCGCAGGCGGGAAGACAAGUUGGAAGUGAAAUCUAUGGGCUCAACCCAUAAACUGCUUUCAAAACUGUUUUUCUUGAGUAGUGCAGAGGUAGGCGGAAUUCCCGGUGUAGCGGUGGAAUGCGUAGAUAUCGGGAGGAACACCAGUGGCGAAGGCGGCCUACUGGGCACCAACUGACGCUGAGGCUCGAAAGUGUGGGUAGCAAACAGGAUUAGAUACCCUGGUAGUCCACACCGUAAACGAUGAUUACUAGGUGUUGGAGGAUUGACCCCUUCAGUGCCGCAGUUAACACAAUAAGUAAUCCACCUGGGGAGUACGACCGCAAGGUUGAAACUCAAAGGAAUUGACGGGGGCCCGCACAAGCAGUGGAGUAUGUGGUUUAAUUCGACGCAACGCGAAGAACCUUACCAAGUCUUGACAUCCUGCGACGAUGCUGGAAACAGUAUUUUCCUUCGGGACGCAGAGACAGGUGGUGCAUGGUUGUCGUCAGCUCGUGUCGUGAGAUGUUGGGUUAAGUCCCGCAACGAGCGCAACCCUUAUGGUCAGUUACUACGCAAGAGGACUCUGGCCGGA
rnacentral:rRNA from 1 species